rnacentral:rRNA from 1 species
CAGUCGCCACGGUAAUACAGAGGGUGCGAGCGUUAAUCGGAUUUACUGGGCGUAAAGCGUGCGUAGGCGGCUUUUUAAGUCGGAUGUGAAAUCCCUGAGCUUAACUUAGGAAUUGCAUUCGAUACUGGGAAGCUAGAGUAUGGGAGAGGAUGGUAGAAUUCCAGGUGUAGCGGUGAAAUGCGUAGAGAUCUGGAGGAAUACCGAUGGCGAAGGCAGCCAUCUGGCCUAAUACUGACGCUGAGGUACGAAAGCAUGGGGAGCAAACAGGAUUAGAUACCCCAGUAGUCCCUGUCUCUUUUAC